rnacentral:rRNA from 1 species
UACGUAGGGGCCUAGCGUUGUCCGGAAUCAUUGGGCGUAAAGCGCGCGUAGGCGGCCCGGUAAGUCCGCUGUAAAAGUCAAAGGCUCAACCUUUGAAUGUCAGUGGAUACUGCCGGGCUAGAGUCCGGAAGAGGCGAGUGGAACUCCUGGUGUAGCGGUGGAAUGCGCAGAUAUCAGGAGGAACACCGGUGGCGAAGGCGGCAUCCUGGACCGGCAUUGACGCUGAGGCGCGAAAGCCAGGGGAGCAAACGGG